UGGCGGCCGUAGCGCGGUGGUCCCACCUGACCCCAUGCCGAACUCAGAAGUGAAACGCCGUAGCGCCGAUGGUAGUGUGGGGCCUCCCCAUGCGAGAGUAGGGAACUGCCAG
rnacentral:rRNA from 1 species